UUCUCAACAACGAGUGUGCUAACUAGAUUGCCCGUGACAAUAUUUUAGGAGUCGCGUGGAUUGUCUGCUAUGUGCUACGCUACAAGAGAGCAAACAAGUGUUUAUACUAUUUGGGAAAUGGGAAGGUAAGGUAAAAGUCAAACAGUCCAAUCUCCGUCCAUUCUCAUUGGAAUUUCAUUUUCAAAGAUUGGAUCAGUGGAAAGUGGAUAUUCUUGCAUACUGCAUAGUGGUGCGUUGGACUUUCACAUGUCAGACUCAUGCAUAGCUCGACUUAGCUAAACAAAGAAGCAGGCAAAUUUUUUCCCUGUAUCAAACUUGACAGGACAUGUAAAUGAAGAAAUGUUGUUGGACUAGUCACAAUAUUAAAAUUUGGAGUAUUUGGUAUUUUA
rnacentral:lncRNA from 1 species